rnacentral:lncRNA from 1 species
CUGAAAUGCAAGAUGCAGGCACAUGAGAUUGUAAGGGAAUCAAACUUGACUUAUGAAGCCAAUAAAGCCCUUGGAAAAGCUGGCCUUAUGUUUUGUGUACACAAUCCCUGUACGGGGUUCCUGACCUGUGAUGCACAUUCUGAUUGCCUCCUUUGGAAAGGCUUAUUAGAAACUCAAAAGAAUGCAACCAUUUGUCUCUCACCUACCUGUGAUCUGGAAGCCCCUCUCCUUGCUUGAAGUUGUCCCCCACUUUCUGGACAGAACCAACGUACUUCUUACACAUAUUGAUUAAUGUCUCAUGACUCCCUAAAAUGUAUAAAACAAAGCUGUGCCCUAACUACCUUUGGCAUAUGUCAUCAGGACUUUCUGAGGUUGUGUGCACAUCCUCAACCUUGGCAAAAUAAACUUUCUAAAUUAAGUGAGACCUGUCUCAAAUCUGGGGGGUUCACAUGCUUGUUAAUAAACAUGUCACAUAAUUUAGCAUCUGAAGUUAUAUUGAACUAAAUAGUAAAUAUUCAUUAAAUGUCUGGGUCAUUUUGAAUUAAAAAAUAUAUUGUAGGUAAAUAUUUUUCUUGCAAAAUGCAUUCUUAUUUAAAGGAAAAUGAUUUUUGUCUAAUUCAAAGGUUAUUUAUAAAACAAGGUAAAAAGAAUCAGUAAAUAAGAGAGAUAUAAAGAAAGUUAUAGAUAUAAAGAGUUUUUUUGGUAAGAAAGGGCACAUGAGAUUGUAAGGGCCAAUUUUGAGAAAUAAAAUUCAUUCUGAGUUUCUCUAUAAAUUAAACAUUAAUAUCAAAGGGACACUGAUGCAACACCUGUAUCUGGGCCCCUGUGUCAGACUAACAAAGUUUUCAUGAAGCAUUAACCCACUUUUUAAUUUAAAAAAAAGCAUAAAAAGGUUUAUGGAAACUAUAUCCUGUGGUCAAGAUGAUUAAAAUUUAAUAGAUUUGUUUAUAAGAUUUGAGAGACAGAUUUAAUUAGCUUCAUGCUGUCUUUAUUAAGGCUUAUUGUUUAGGAAAGUAAGUAUCCUCACUCAAAUAACAAGGUUUUUCUCUGUUUAAAAAAAAAAAUUGAGUUGUCACUUUGGCUAAAUGAAUGACUUCUUUUACAAUGACCUGUGAUCCUAUUUUGUGAUGUCAAGUGUUUUAAACUUUUGAUAUUUGACAAACUUUCCAAAAUCAAAUUCUAUAUUCAGUCCUUUUGACUUUAUUUACUUUUUUGACUUUAGGUCCCCUAAGUCCAAAAGAGAC